GUGGUCUUUGCUUGUUAGUAUUGAUUCUGAACUUGUGCUUCUGGUUACAUACUCUCUGGCUUGUUAUCCGACUCUGUGACUUUCUCCUACCCUUUGACCUCGGCUUGUUUCACGUUAUUCUGUCUUCUGGUUCCCCUUACUCGGCUUGUUUCCUGACUAUUCUUUGUGUGCUUAGCCCGGCCACUCUAAGGUCCGGUACGGCACUUUGUGUGUGUCUGUGUGUGUUGGCGUGUUUGGUUCCCCGAAUCGUGACAUUACAACAGGGCCAUAAUGGAACCUGCUGACAUGCCACAGCUUCUAGUUAAUCAAGAGGCUAGAAUGGAUGGCUUAGACCACCGUAUGGAUCAGUUUGCUCAAGCUUUACAAACCAUUCUGGCUCGUACUGCACACUUGCAACCGGCCGUUCAGGAGGCUGCUGCUGCUGUGCCCGAACCCAUUCCCACUCCAGUACCUGUUCCCGC